UACGAAGGGGGCUAGCGUUGUUCGGAAUUACUGGGCGUAAAGCGCGCGUAGGCGGCUUGCUAAGUCAGACGUGAAAGCCCUGGGCUCAACCCGGGAAUUGCGUUUGAUACUGGCGAGCUUGAGAUUCAGAGAGGUGAGUGGAAUUCCUAGUGUAGAGGUGAAAUGCGUAGAUAUCAGGAGGAACACCUGUGGCGAAAGCGGCUCACUGGACCACAACUGACGCUGAGGCGCGAAAGCUAGGGGAGCAAACAGG
rnacentral:rRNA from 1 species